AGGACAAAUACACUAACUUUAAGAACAUUUUACUUAUUUUUAGAUCUGUUUUUGCAGUGUGCUGAGGUCCUGCAGGAGACUACAGGGGCCCGAACUGCACUGCAAAGAGGGAACUAAAAUGUGCUGGAGCUGCAUGGGGGCCCGAGCUGCAGGGGCCGGUUCAGACCCAGAGUUAAGUCAUGGUUUCCUUCAGGGGUCGAUGUUCUGCAUGUUUUAGAUGUUUGAUCUAAAUAAACGGGCCCUCAGCAGGUUCCAGAACCUCCUGACAGGCGGCGGGCCCUUUCAGUGAGUCCGAAUGGGCCCACCGCCCCGUUUAAGCUGACAAGCACUUCCAGAACCACCAAAGAACCUGAACAGAACAGUGAAGGGAUGUAAAGUUCGACGCAGUAAAAACCACAGAGACGUUAAAAAGCCAUCAAGCUGCAGCAGAACCGAGACUCCGGAUCCUGCUGCUUGGCUCGGUUCCCUCAAGCAGAACCGGGUCGUCUUUUCAGGGUAAAAUGGCAAAUCGUAAAUAAAGUUAUUUUCUGAAACUGUGAUUAAAACCAUAAAAGUAUUAACUAUAUAGAAAGCUUUUAGAGGAAUUAUUUAUCAUUUCUUAUGGGUUCAAAGAAGAAUGGCGUGAAAACAUGAAGUUAAAGUUUUAAUGUGUAUGAAAGUAGCAGAGUCUAAACUCUGAGUUUCUGUGUUUAUUCUGCUGAGUCAGCACUUUAUGGGUAUCUUGUUGUUCUGCUUUAAUCUUUAAUAACAGUUAAAGUGUCGUUUCCUACCACAGGGUUAUGUAAACAUUGACUGUUUGAUUCAGAAACGCACCCAAUAAAACCCAGAAGAACUCAAACAGAA